rnacentral:rRNA from 1 species
AUUGAACGCUGGCGGCAUGCCUUACACAUGCAAGUCGAACGGCAGCACGGGGCAACCUGGUGGCGAGUGGCGAACGGGUGAGUAAUGCAUCGGAACGUACCUUUCAGUGGGGGAUAACGUAGCGAAAGUUACGCUAAUACCGCAUAUUCUGUGAGCAGGAAAGCAGGGGAUCGCAAGACCUUGCGCUGAUUGAGCGGCCGAUGUCAGAUUAGCUCGUUGGUGAGGUAAAGGCUCACCAAGGCGACGAUCUGUAGCGGUGUUGAGAGGAUGAUCCGCCACCCUGGGACGGAGACACGGUCCAGACACCUUCGGGAGGCAGCAGGUGGUAAUUUUGGACAAUGGGGUCAACCCUGAUCCAGCCAUGCCGCGUGAGUGAAGAAGGCCUUCGGGUUGUAAAGCUCUUUCGGCCGGGAAGAAAUCGCACGGGCUAAUACCCUUUGUGGAUGACGUUACCGGAAUAAGAAGCACCGGCUAACUACGUGCCAGCCGCCGCAGUAAAAC